AGCGAACGCUGGCGGCAGGCCUAACACAUGCAAGUCGAGCGGCCCUUCGGGGCAGCGGCGGACGGGUGAGUAACGCGUGGGAACGUGCCCUUUGGUACGGAACAACUGAGGGAAACUUCAGCUAAUACCGUAUGUGCCCUACGGGGGAAAGAUUUAUCGCCAUUGGAGCGGCCCACGUUAGAUUAGCUAGUUGGUAGGGUAAUGGCCUACCAAGGCGACGAUCUAUAGCUGGUCUGAGAGGAUGAUCAGCCACACUGGGACUGAGACACGGCCCAGACUCCUACGGGAGGCAGCAGUGGGGAAUCUUGCGCAAUGGGCGAAAGCCUGACGCAGCCAUGCCGCGUGAAUGAUGAAGGUCCUAGGAUUGUAAAAUUCUUUCACCGGGGACGAUAAUGACGGUACCCGGAGAAGAAGCCCCGGCUAACUUCGUGCCAGCCGCCGCAGUAAAAC
rnacentral:rRNA from 1 species